rnacentral:misc_RNA from 1 species
GAUGAAGAACGCAGCGAAAUGCGAUAAGUAAUGUGAAUUGCAGAAUUCAGUGAAUCAUCGAAUCUUUGAACGCACAUUGCGCCCCUUGGUAUUCCGGGGGGCAUGCCUGUUCGAGCGUCAUUACAACCCUCAAGCUCUGCUUGGUCUUGGGCGUCACCGGUCCCCGGUGUGCCUUAAAAUCAGUGGCGGCGCCAUCUGGCUCUAAGCGUAGUACAUACUCUCGCUACAGACGUCCGGUGGAUGCUGGCCAGCAACCCCCAAUUUUUACAGGUUGACCUCGGAUCAGGUAGGGAUACCCGCUGAACUUAAGCAUAUCAAUAAGCGGAGGA